rnacentral:rRNA from 1 species
UUCCCCUAGUAACGGCGAGUGAAGCGGGAAGAGCUCAUGUUGUAAAUCUGGAUGAGGAUUCCUCGUCCCGAAUUGUAGUCUAGAGAUGCGUGCUCAGCUACUCUCCAGGGCUAAGUCUGUUUGUGAAAGACAGCAUCAUGGACGGUGAUAAUCCGGUUCUUGCCUUGGAUGUUGUAGCGUCUUGAGCCGUCCUCAACGAGUCGAGUUGCUUGGGAUUGCAGCUCUAAGCGGGUGGUAAAUUCCAUCUAAAGCUAAAUAUUGGUGGGAGACCGAUAGCGAACAAGUACCGUGAGGGAAAGAUGAAAAGAACUUUGAAAAGAGAGUUAAAUAGUACCUGAAACUGCUGAAAGGGAAGCGAAUGAAGUCAGUGUUGCUCUUUGUUCUCUGCAUCCUCCCUGCGGGGAUUGUGUAUCGAGGACUUUGAGCUUGUCAGGAUGAGUUCUCUGCCGCGGGAUAUGGUUUGUGAGCUGGAUGCUUCUGCUGAACUCACUCUCUCUGUCGUGGCUUGGACUGAGGUUCCAUCUUGCCGUUGCCUGCUUGUUACUCUCCUGUUGCUGUUUCUGUCCUACUGCUUGCAGUGUUCGGUUGCAGUGAUUGGACUGUGCAAGUUAUGCAUGCAAGGUCAGGAUCCUGACGAAAUGGCUUUAUUUACCCCGUCUUGAAACACGGACCAAGGAGUCUAACAUACGUGCGAGUACUUUGGUGACAAACCAAUGUGCGCAAUGAAAGUAAAGGCUGGCUUCCGUCAGCUGAGGUGGGAUCCUUAUGGAGCACCAUCGACCGACCAUUAUUCCUUCGGGAUAAAGGUUUGAGUGUGAGCAUUUAUGUUGGGACCCGAAAGAUGGUGAACUAUGCCUGAAUAGGGCGAAGCCAGGGGAAACUCUGGUGGAGGCUCGUAGCGAUUCUGACGUGCAAAUCGAUCGUCAAAUUUGGGUAUAGGGGCGAAAGACUAAUCGAACCAUCUAGUAGCUGGUUCCCUCCGAAAUUUCCCUCAGGAUAGCUGCAACCGGUUAAGAGUUUUAUCAGGUAAAGCGAAUGAUUAGAGGCCUCGGGAACGGAAUGUUCUCGACCUAUUCUCAAACUUUAAAUGGGUAAGAACCCGGGGUUGCUUAAUUGAACCCUGCGGUCGAAUCUCGGUUGCUAGUGGGCCAGUCCGGGUAAGCUGGACUGGCGAUGCGGGAUGAUCCGAACGCUUAGUUAAAGUGCCUAACUGCUCGCUCACCUAGAUCCCACAAAAGGUGUUGGUUCAUUUAGACAGCAGGACGGUGGCCAUGGAAGUCGGAACCCGCUAAGGAGUGUGUAACAACUCACCUGCCGAAUGAACUAGCCCUGAAAAUGGAUGGCGCUAAAGCGUGCGACUUAUACUAAGCCAUCAGUGCGAGAUGUAUGCACUGAUGAGUAGGAGGGCGUGUUGCUCGUGCAGAAGCCUUGGGCGGA